UUCACAAACGAAAUUAAAUAAUAUAUACUUCCAAAGAGGAAAUAGUAGUAGUCUGAAAAUGAUAAUGUUGUUAACUGCUGGACUUUGAUAUGCUUGAUCUUAUGAUGAUAGUUCUGCCAAUGUAUUUGUUAGAAUUAGUUCAUUGUCUUACAUAUAGGUCUAUGCUGAGAGGACUAUUUCACAGACGAUGUCAUUGGUUGUAAAAAAAAGCAUGGACCUAGGUACAUGCACAUAGAUCCAAGGCUCCCAUGCGUUUUUUAUAGACUGGGAAUUCUUGUGAUUUCAUAAAGAAGUUCUCUGUCGUUUUUUACAUGAUGCCAAAAAUAUUAGGGAUUCAUCUUGAGAGAGAUCUGUUCCAGUAGUUGCCUAAUGUGAACCUGAAUGAGACCUCAAUAUAUUUAGCUGUUGUUAUCUCGGAACCAUCUAUAAGUACAUCUUUAAAUAUAUUUCCUAUUUUCGCUGCUUGUAUGUAUUGCAUUUAUUUGCUAAAUAAUUAGUGUCCUCUUUUGCUAGAUUUUUUUGUUUCGCUUCAUUAAUAAACGAUUUCUCAAGCAAGCCUUGUAUUUUCAGUUCUUUAAAGAGUAAUUGCUUGCUUAUUUGUUGACAAAAGGUGGGGAGAGGAACUUGAGCGACUCUUGGCACAUAUAUUAAAGAUUUGUUGCAUACAGUUUUAAGGUUGUUGGGGUUCUAACAAUUUGCAUGCUUCAGGCGAUGCUGAAGCCCAACCACAAGUACAUGACUCACGUGGCUGAGGAGGCAAAAUAUUGGCCAUCAUCAUGUUCUGCGCGUCAAUUCACCGUCCUUAUCCUGCUUAUGGGAGUCUUUCAGUGUGUAGAAGUCCUAUGGACAGUUUGGUGGACGCAAAUAGGAUACACGUAAUGAUUAUAAAUACUCGAAGAUUAUAGCUACUGUAAGCUUGACAGGAAAAAGGGUUGUGAGAAAACUCUGGUGCUCAUCUACUCGCUGACUAAUCACUGAUUUACAUUGAUAUGCUUAAUAUAGCAUUUUAGAAAUUAUGAAAGAUGGGUUCAUGCGAGAGAAGCUUUUUUGCCGUCAAACAUGUCUUCGUUCUCCUGAACAAUUACUAAAUUUAUUGUAUUUUGGA